AUACGUAGGGGGCGAGCGUUGUCCGGAAUGAUUGGGCGUAAAGGGCGCGUAGGCGGCCCGGUAAGUCUGGAGUGAAAGUCCUGUUUUUAAGAUGGGAAUUGCUUUGGAUACUGUCGGGCUUGAGUGCAGGAGAGGUAAGUGGAAUUCCCAGUGUAGCGGUGAAAUGCGUAGAGAUUGGGAGGAACACCAGUGGCGAAGGCGACUUACUGGACUGUAACUGACGCUGAGGCGCGAAAGUGUGGGGAGCAAACAGGAUUAGAUACCCUGGUAGUCCACACUGUAAACGAUGUAUACUAGGUGUGGGGGGACUGACCCCCUCCGUGCCGCAGUUAACACAAUAAGUAUUCCACCUGGGGAGUACGAUCGCAAGAUUGAAACUCAAAUGAAUUGGCGGGG
rnacentral:rRNA from 1 species